GUUGAUGUCCUGGGAGGCAGGGCUCUGGAAAGCUUCUUGGCUUUGAGUCCCUCUCCCACUGUGGUAGAAGCGUUUUCCCGUUUCUUGGGGACCUUACCAGUUCUCGUGGGUUGCUACUGUUUCUCUCGGAAACAAAAUUUAUCUUCUCCUGUAAAGCCAUUUCUCCACGCUUCUCAGCCAAGCAGCAGACAUUCAUUAGGCGCUUGCUGUAUGCCAGGUGUUCUGGGAAUUUAAAGACGCCGCGUCUUCCAAGCGAAGAGCAGGAGACCCCGCGGUGGGGCGCGAUGCGGGGGAGAGGUUUCUCGCAGAAGCGGCAUCGGUGUUGAUUCUUGGAAGAAAACCCGGGAAACCAGGCUCUUUCUCUAUUAGAGUCUCUCAGUCACAGAAGACUUCAGGCUGCAGAUUCCAGACUCCCAUCUGCGGACCAGCUUUGUGGCCACUCUCCUGCCUCCUUCACUUCCCCACCUAAAGAUCAAGAAUUUGGAUUGGUACCGAGGCCCUCCAGAGAGCUAACCCAGAUUUUACAUAGCAUGAUAAAUGUGGAUAUAUAUAGAGAAGAACUGUGUAUGUUAACAUUUGUUGGAUUACUGUCUGGGAGAGGGAGUAGGAGGAAGAGAGGGAGAAAAAUUUGGGACACAAAAUUUUGCAAAGGUGAAUGUUGAAAACUAUUUUUGCAUGUAUUUGGGAAAUAAAAAGCUAUUUAAAAAAAAAAAAAAAAAAGGGCUGCUACAAACAUUUUUGCACAUAGGUCCUUGUUAUGGGCCAGAACUCUGAACUUGAAACAAAGGAUUCUUACAAGGUACUAAGUCAGUGGAAUUGAUAGAGACAAUAGUUAUUUAGCAUGGUGCUUAACUGUUCUCUAGUUCAGUACAUGUACUUAGUACUUACUAUAGUUCUACAAGAUUCACACAUUUGAUUAGAGAGGAUAAAAGCUCAAACAAAUUCAGCUAGAAUGAGAACUAGGGAAGACAGAGAAGUGGUGGCAGGCUCUCGUCCUUCACUUCUCCACCGAAACCAAGACUCCAGAAGGCCUCCAGAAAAACUAGCCGAGCCCCAAGUGAAGGAGACUUUAACACCUGGCUACACUCGUGUGGUGAUUACUGAACUGAAAGAAGGCUGCCUCCAGAAACCCCAAGAGAAGCUCAACAGAGAACAUUACAUUUUAGAGAGAAUAUUACAGGUCCUUUUCCCACUUUUAUGAUAUUUUUGGGAUAUAGACCCAGUAGUGAUCAACCUUUUGUUUUUCCCUGAGGCAGUUGGGGUUAAGUGACUUGCCCAGGGUCACACGUCUGGGAAGUGUUAAGUGUCUGAGGCCAAAUUUGAACCAGGUUCUCCUGACUUCAGGGCUGGUACUCUAUCCAGCUGUUCCCCCAACCUACUUUUUAGACCAAUUUGGCAUUUCUUCCCUUUGUGUAUACAUUCCCAGCAAACCUAAAUUUAGCAUUGCCUCUCUCAGUUUUCCACAGUUUAUUCCCUCAUGACUGAUGUUCACUCUCUCCUAAUCUCAGACUUUUAGAAUCCUUGGUUUUUUAAGGAUUUACUGGAAUUCUUUUCUGAUUCCCCAUCUAGUGCCUUCCUUCUUGAUAAUUGCAUUGUCUCCUGUUUGUUUUGUUUGUGUGUAAUUGUUUUGCAUGUUGUCUUUCCUACUAGUCUGAGGGCAGGGAGUAUAUCUUGCCAUUUGUUGGAUUCCUAGCACUUAACAGAGUACUUGGCACAUAGUAGGUGCUUGAUAGAUGUUUAUGAUUCAGCAUCCCUGGAGGCUCAAUUCAGGUUUCCUUUCACAUGAAAAGCUUUUCUUGAUCCCCUAGUCUUUGGCAUUCGCUGCUAGCUGUAGUUAUGGAGAGAGCCGAGCCUGGAGUCAGAGCAGCCUGAGUUCAAAUGUGGUCUCCGCUCUUUCUAGCUGUGUGACUCUGGGCCAUUCAGCCUUGUCCAUCUUCCUUUCCUGAUCUGUAAAAGCUUUUUUGCAAGGCUCAGAGUAGUCUGGCUGUGUGACCCUGGGCAAACCCCAAUCGUCUCACCAAAAAAAAAAAAAAAAGGAAUUGUUUGUUCAUAUCUUUUGACCAUUUCUCAAGUAGGGAGUGACUUUUGUUAUGAAUUUGUGUUAGUAGUCUUAUAUCAUACAGUUCCUUAAAUUCUUCAUAUUUCUUGUUAGUGAUUUUUAAAAAAUAAAAUUCUAAUAUAAUUCCAAAUUGUUUUCCUGAAUUAUUGGAUCCACUUAUAGCUCUGCCAAGUGUAUUAAUGUGCCCCUUUUCCCCAUAGUCCUUCCACUAUUUACCAUUCUUACCACUUGCCCCAACUUCAGUAGUCUUUCCUUUGAAAUAGUUAACCAAAAUCAAGAUAAAACCACCAGAGUAUGCAGUGUUGCAUAUGCAUAGAUUUAGAGAAAAGAACCUUAAAGAUCAAUUAUUUCACUAUCCUCCUGUUGUCUUUACUAAUUUGAUGUACAUAUAGUAAAAUUCCAAAGUUGUUUUAUUGUGCACUUCUUUUAUUAGUAAUGUUAUUUGAUUUGCAGCAUUUUUUCAUGUGGUUAUUUCAUAUUUCUUCCUUUGAAAACUGCCUGCUAUAUCUUUUCAAGACUGACUGAACAAAUCGCGGAAUGAAAAUCUUUCCAGACUCGUUUAAACAUUACUCAUCCCUACUGCUCCUGCUCUGCAGUCCAGGCAAAUUGGCCUGCUUUCUGUUCCUCACAUGAUACUAUUUCCCCACUUGUAAUGGGUCAGAAUUCUGGAGAAAUGUACUUGAAACAAGGAUUCUUACAAAGUGCUAACUCAGUGGAAUUGAUAAAACAAUGGUUAUCAAGUUUAGCAUGUGAGUUCUGUAGUUCAGUAUGAUUAAAUUAAUCUUACAACAAAUAAUAGUUCCCUAGUGAUAUAAUGCUCGGCUUUAUGAUGAAUAGAUUUAAUUGUAAUAAAGUAUUUAAGAAGUCAGAGUCAAGCCUAGAAACAGACUCAGAGAAAGAGGACUGGAGACUGGAGCUCAAGCUCUCAGACUUGGAGAGACAUUCCAUCUUCAUCAGUCUCGUGGUGGCUGGCCUGUCUGCUUCCCCCAUUGAGACCAAGGCCCAUCUGAAGGGCCUCCAGAAAGCUAGCCGAGCCCCAGGCAAGGAGACAGACUGUGAAGGAGACAACAAAGACUUUUGGACUUGCUCCCUGGCCAUUCUCAUUGUGAUUACUCAGCUGAAACGCAGGUCCCAAGACUUCCAGAAAGCUAACCAGGACAUUACAGCCAUUCUCUGCCUUUGUCUCCCAAUCCUGCAGGGCACAUCUUCCCUAUUUCAGACUCAGAAUUUUAAGACAUAGCUCAAGCACCAUCUACAUAAAGCCUUUUCUGAUUCCCUCAGCAGCUGGCAUCCUCCUCCCUCAAAUCACCUUGAAGUUAACUAUUUUGCGUAUAUUUGCAUUCAUUCACUUUAUAUUAAUCCUAUAAAUAUGGGCAGCUAGGAUAGAGCCCUGUGCUAAGAAAAUCUCAAAUAGGGUCACAAAGAUAAGAAUGAAAAAAACCAAUAAAUGAAAAUAUAUUUAAUGUGUGCUUUUUGUCUCCAUUUGAAUGUAAGCACGUUGUGUGUAGGGGUUUCUCCCCUCCUUUCUCCCCCCCCCCCAUUUGUAUCUCUAGUGCCUGGCACAUUGUAUAUGCC
ensembl:lncRNA